AUACUUACCUGGCAGGGGAGAUACCAUGAUCACGAAGGUUGUUUUCCCAGGGCGAGACUCAUCCAUUGCACUGUGGAUGUGCUGACCCCUGUGAUUUCCACAAAUGUGGGAAACUCGACUGCAUAAUUUGUGGUAUUGGGGGACUGCGUUCACUCUCUCCCCUG